rnacentral:misc_RNA from 1 species
AAACCUAGUCGUUCGCGUACAUAGGGGCAACCCUCGCGUGAUGUCAGCAAUACCUAGGUAACCCUUGAAUAAACUACCCUUGUUGCUUUGGCGGGCCGCCGUCUCGGCCAGCGGCUUCGGCUGCUGCGCGCCCGCCAGAGGACCACAACUCUUGUUUUUAGUGAUGUCUGAGUACUAUAUAAUAGUUAAAACUUUCAACAACGGAUCUCUUGGUUCU